rnacentral:rRNA from 1 species
AGUGAACGCUGGCGGUAGGCCUAACACAUGCAAGUCGAACGGCAGCACAGUAAGAGCUUGCUCUUACGGGUGGCGAGUGGCGGACGGGUGAGGAAUACAUCGGAAUCUACUUUUUCGUGGGGGAUAACGUAGGGAAACUUACGCUAAUACCGCAUACGACCUACGGGUGAAAGCAGGGGAUCUUCGGACCUUGCGCGAGUGAAUGAGCCGAUGUCGGAUUAGCUAGUUGGCGGGGUAAAGGCCCACCAAGGCGACGAUCCGUAGCUGGUCUGAGAGGAUGAUCAGCCACACUGGAACUGAGACACGGUCCAGACUCCUACGGGAGGCAGCAGUGGGGAAUAUUGCACAAUGGGCGCAAGCCUGAUCCAGCCAUACCGCGUGGGUGAAGAAGGCCUUCGGGUUGUAAAGCCCUUUUGUUGGGAAAGAAAAGCAGCAGGUUAAUACCCCGCUGUUCUGACGGUACCCAAAGAAUAAGCACCGGCUAACUUCGUG